rnacentral:rRNA from 1 species
GAUGAACGCUGGCGGCGUGCCUAAUACAUGCAAGUCGAGCGGACGGACGAGAAGCUUGCUUCUCUGAUGUUAGCGGCGGGCGGGUGAGUAACACGUGGAUAACCUACCUAUAAGACUGGGAUAACUUCGGGAAACCGGAUCUAAUACCGGAUAAUAUUUUGAACCGCAUGGUUCAAAAGUGAAAUACGGUCUUGCUGUCACGUCUAGCUGGAUCCGCGCUGCAUUAGCUAGUUGGUAAGGUAACGGGUUACCACGGCAACGAUGCAUAGCCGACCUGAGAGGGGGAUAGGCCACCUGGGAACGUGGACACGGACCAGACGCCUAAGGGAGGCAGCAGAAGGGAACCGUCGGCAAUGGGCGAAAGCAUGACGGAGCAACGCCGCGUGAGUGAUGAAGGUCUUCGGAUCGGAAAACUCUGUUAUUAGGGAAGAACAUAUGUGUAAGUAACUGUGCACAGCGUGACGGUACCUAAUCAGAAAGACACGGCUAACUACGUG